GAAUGCUGACAUAAGUAACGAUAAAGCGGGUGAAAAGCCCGCUCGCCGGAAGACCAAGGGUUCCUGUCCAACGUUAAUCGGGGCAGGGUGAGUCGACCCCUAAGGCGAGGCCGAAAGGCGUAGUCGAUGGGAAACGGGUUAAUAUUCCCGUACUUGGUGUUACUGCGAAGGGGGGACGGAGAAGGCUAUGUUGGCCGGGCGACGGUUGUCCCGGUUUAAGCGUGUAGGUGUGUGUUCCAGGUAAAUCCGGUUCACUUUAACACUGAGGCGUGACGACGAGGCACUACGGUGCUGAAGCAACAAAUGCCCUGCUUCCAGGAAAAGCCUCUAAGCAUCAGGUAACAUCAAAUCGUACCCCAAACCGACACAGGUGGUCAGGUAGAGAAUACCAAGGCGCUUGAGAGAACUCGGGUGAAGGAACUAGGCAAAAUGGUGCCGUAACUUCGGGAGAAGGCACGCUGACACGUAGGUGAAGUGAUUUACUCAUGGAGCUGAAGUCAGUCGAAGAUACCAGCUGGCUGCAACUGUUUAUUAAAAACACAGCACUGUGCAAACACGAAAGUGGACGUAUACGGUGUGACGCCUGCCCGGUGCCGGAAGGUUAAUUGAUGGGGUCAGCGCAAGCGAAGCUCCUGAUCGAAGCCCCGGUAAACGGCGGCCGUAACUAUAACGGUCCUAAGGUAGCGAAAUUCCUUGUCGGGUAAGUUCCGACCUGCACGAAUGGCGUAAUGAUGGCCAGGCUGUCUCCACCCGAGACUCAGUGAAAUUGAACUCGCUGUGAAGAUGCAGUGUACCCGCGGCAAGACGGAAAGACCCCGUGAACCUUUACUAUAGCUUGACACUGAACAUUGAGCCUUGAUGUGUAGGAUAGGUGGGAGGCUUUGAAGCGUGGACGCCAGUCUGCGUGGAGCCG
rnacentral:rRNA from 3 species